AAUAAAUACGAUUGCAUUGCAUAUAUAAACAAAUGCAAUCAUACCAGCACUAAUUCACCGGAUCCCAUCAGAACUCCGCAAUUAAGCAUGCUUGGGCGAGAGUAGUACUAGGAUGGAAGACCUCCUGAGAAGUUCUCGUGUUGCAUCCCUCAUUUUUUUUUGGUUUUUCUCUUUUUCUUUGUUAAAAAUUUAUGACUGUAUAACUUUUAGACUGUGAGUCCAAACUUGGGAUGAGAUACCU
rnacentral:sRNA from 1 species